AGCGAACGCUGGCGGCAGGCCUAACACAUGCAAGUCGAACGAACCUUUCGGGGUUAGUGGCGGACGGGUGAGUAACACGUGGGAACGUGCCUUUAGGUUCGGAAUAACUCAGGGAAACUUGUGCUAAUACCGAAUGUGCCCUUCGGGGGAAAGAUUAAUCGCCUUUAGAGCGGCUCGCGUCUGAUUAGCUAGUUGGUUGAGGUAAUGGCUCACCAAGGCGACGAUCAGUAGCUGGUCUGAGAGGAUGAUCAGCCACAUUGGGACUGAGACACGGCCCAAACUCCUACGCGAGGCAGCAGUGGGGAAUCUUGCGCGAUGGGCGAAAGCCUGACGCAGCCAUGCCGCGUGAAUGAUGAAGGUCUUAGGAUUGUAAAAUUCUUUCAGCGGGGACGAUAAUGACGGUACCCGGAGAAGAAGCCCCGGCUAACUUCGUG
rnacentral:rRNA from 1 species